GUAGGUGGCAAGCGUUGUCCGGGAAUUAUUGGGGCGUUAAAGCGCGCGCAGGCGGUUCUUUAAGUCUGAUGUGAAAGCCCACGGGCUCAACCGUGGAGGGUCAUUGGAAACUGGAGAACUUGAGUACAGAAGAGGAAAGCGGAAUUCCACGUGUAGCGGUGAAAUGCGUAGAGAUGUGGAGGAACACCAGUGGCGAAGGCGGCUUUCUGGUCUGUAACUGACGCUGAGGCGCGAAAGCGUGGGGAGCAAACAGGAUUAGAUACCCUGGUAGUCCACGCCGUAAACGAUGAGUGCUAAGUGUUAGGGGGUUUCCGCCCCUUAGUGCUGCAGCUAACGCAUUAAGCACUCCGCCUGGGGAGUACGGCCGCAAGGCUG
rnacentral:rRNA from 1 species